UAGUCUGCCAUACGCAGGAAGACCCGCUGAACUGAAGCAUCUCAUUAAGCGGAGGAAAAGAAACUAACUAGGAUUCCCUUAGUAAAGGCGAUCGAAAAGGGAACAGCCCAACGUCUUAAUCCCGCAAGGGAAAUGUAGUCGGUUCACCUAUUGCACUGGUCUAAGUCAGAUGGAAUGCUGCGCGAUUCAGAGUAAAAGCCUCGUAUGACCAACCGCAAGCUUACGAUGGACCGGGGAGAGUCGGAUACUUUGAGAGUAGUGUCUUAAGGGGGUGGUAUGUCCCAUCCAAGGCUAAAUAACGUGAGGAGACCGAUAGAUUACAAGUAGUGUGAACGAAAGAUGAAAAGAACUCUAAAACAGAGGGUGAAAAGUUCCUGAACUUGCUUAGGGUUAAGGCUAUUUAUAGUACCCGUCUUGAAACACGGAUUAGGGAGUUUAUCUGUAGUGCGAGUCUUUGCACGUUAACUGUAAAGGCGUAGAGAAAGCAACUGGCGUUUGCAUGGCUACUGAGCAUUACUGAUAGGACCCGAAAGGUGGUGAACUUUGCCUGCACAGGUUGAAGUCAGGGGAAACUCUGAUGGAGGACCGUACGGGUUAUUGAUGUGCAAAUCAUUUUUCUGAUGUAGGUAAAGGUGCG
rnacentral:ncRNA from 1 species